CAGGCCCCAGCAACCUGGGCUGUGUCCCAGUCCCUCUCAGAACAGGAUAUCCUUUUACAGCUUAGCCCGCUGUGUCCUGCUGCCUUUGCAUGUGAAGGCUAUUUUCUGGGUCUCUCAGAUGGUGGAGGCGGGGACACAGAUGAGAUUACUUCUGAUAGGUAUAUUCUGGAUGCUGUUCACAACACAUUCUAGGCUACACAUUGGGGUUAACUGGUUUCUAGAACACUUCCAAGGUACCCAGAAGUGAAUUUGCCCUGUCUUGAGGCCGGGCCGUUGCCGGAUCACUGAGAUUUGAGAAGUUCUCAUCCAUAUGGCCCGGGCAGGAUUAGGACUGCAGAAGCCGAUUAAGGGCAAUGGUCAGAACAGGGCGCGGGUGUGCAUAUUUACAAGGAAAUAGUCAAGAUGCAGACAAUAAAUGAUUGUGGGGUGCCAGACACAACUAACUGUUGUGAAGUCAGGUGACAUCACAGAAGAAAGGCCAGAAAUUGUAGGAGUCAGAGGACCAGGGCAGUUUCUGCUAGGUAGUGUAUUCUAGACACGACAGGGAAGCUAAAUUCAUGAAAUCUCAAUAAUAUGCUCAUUUAAACAAGACCUGCACAGUGACAACAGCAGUUGACAUGCCAAGGUGGAUCUUAUAGUUCCCAUCCCCUAGAAGAAGAGCUACAGGUUCUCAUAGUGGAGGACUGUGGAAACAGGAUGGAACUGUAUGAGUGGAAACAGACAUGCCUUCCUUGGGGGAGCACAGAAGUCCUGGGCACUCACAACAAUGCCCACUAUGUAGGGGACAGUGUUGAAACUCUUCUCAGCCAGGAUCUCUUCAGGUGCCUUUGGCAGCACCACUCCAUCAAUCACGGUGGUCAGGAAAGGGUAGCUCUGGGGAAUAAAGCAGCAUGUGGUUACUUAUUCCACAGAACCCCUGUGUCUCCUUUGUUGGCUGUCUGGUGGAGCCUGGGCAGUGACCACAGAAGUUCAAGGGUCGUGUUUCUUUCAAGCAUCUUAGCUGGAUGUAAUGAAUGCACAGUCUAUCUUCCUACCUCAUCUGGGUGGAUAUCUGAAUGGAUGGAUGGUCCUAUAGUAUAUGGUCAUAUUGAUGAAUUGGAUGGGCUCAUGCAUAGAGUGAUAAUGAACAGGCGUUUCUCUGAUAACAUGGGUUUCCCUCAUUAUUCCUCACAGGACUCUCCUGUGCAUGGGACAUUUGCACAGGACAUUUGCACAGGACAUUUGCACAUGCUGUUUCUUCUUGGGAUAUCCUCUGCUCACCAGGUUCUUGCUACCCUGAUGACCUACCUCAGCCGCACGCCUUGUAGUCUCCCUGAACAGACAUGGCGUGAGGGCCACACCACUCUCAGAAAUGGCCCUCUGGAAGAGGUUCUUGGUCAGCGGAGAUAAAACCUGGGAAGAAAGAGAGGAGGAGAGUUUAUGUUCCCAAAAUACUUCCACUGACCGUGGACCAAAUAUUCAAACAUGAGAGCUACUUCUCAUUCAAACCACCACAGUGGGGAAUGCUGGGAAUUACUGGAUGGGUGGGAGGAGACAUACAGAGGCCUGAGGAUGCAGAGGUAAGAAGCAAGGAUCAUGAGCAGCCACGGAGGUGCAAACAGCCAAAGGUCAGAGAAAAGAAGCCAUUAGAAGCAUGUGGGCUCACCCAGCUGUUACUGAGGGGUCAAGAGGUUGUUCUGAGGGAGGGUAGAGAUCACUGGUGACUUCAGCAAGCACAGCCUGCCAGGCAUGGGGGAAGGAGAGAUAAGAGAAAGAAGAGAUGGAGGGACUACUUUUGGCAGGCUUAUUGAAAUAGAAGGCAGAGAAACAGAAUCUGAGUGAAAGAGACAUGGUGCCUUGAGAGGAAGGUUCCCUGCCACCUUGAGGAAAGGUCUGAAGCAAGAUCAUCUCAGAAUGAAGAGCAGCAAAGGCUGGAGGGCAAUGGCAUACUGAAGAACCUACUGACUCCAUUGUAUCUUCUGUCCAAAGGGUCACCUUCUCCAGAUGCCCACCUCUAUCCUGUGGCCUGCAACUAGCAGCCUGCCCCAUCCUCUAUCCUGUGACCCGGAACUAGCAGCCUGCCCCAUCCUCUAUCCUGUGACCCGGAACUAGCAGCCUGCCCCAUCCUCUGUCCUGUGACCCGGAACUAGCAGCCUGCCCCAUCCUCUGUCCUGUGACCUGGAACUAUCAACCUGCCCCAUCCUCUGUCCUGUGACCUGGAACUAGCAGCCUGCCCCAUCCUCUAUCCUGUAACCUGGAACUAGCAGCCUGCCCCAUCCUCUAUCCUGUGACCCGGAACUAGCAGCCUGCCCCAUCCUCUGUCCUGUGACCAGUAACUAGCAGCCUGCCCCAUCCUCUAUCCUGUGACCUGGAACUAGCAGCCUGCCCAUCUUUGGGCCUUUGUUUAUAUGGAAAUGCUGACUCACUGAGCCAUCAGUUCUUGCCAAAGGCAACCAAGGAAAGAAACAAAUUAUAGCCAAGUCCCAGAUGUUUGGCAAAGGAAAUACUUCUGGGAUUGUCCCAGACUGCAUCCCACAUACCUUCAU
rnacentral:lncRNA from 1 species